rnacentral:lncRNA from 1 species
AUGGUUUCAAGGUGUAAGGCGAGGAAGAGAUACAUGAAGCAGUUUGUGAAGGCGAGGCAAGCCCUGUCUGCAGCCCACAGUAUGUAUAUCAGAUCCCUGCGUGGCACUGGCUCUGCUCUCCUUCAGUUUGCCACCGCCGAGACCAAUCUCUACCACCACCAUCUCACACCGAUUCUACCCUCUCCACCGCCGCCCAUGAGUCCCAGCUCCGAUACGUGGACAUCAUCACAGCCUCGCCCUCUCAUCUGCCGCCUCCGCCUCCUCCUCCUCCACCACCACAGCAGCCCUCUGAAUUUUUUUUUUUAAGGGGGGCACGUGGACAAAAUGAGGGAGGGGCACGUGGACACAAUUGAGGGGGUCCUUACAACGGCUAGAAAAAUACAACGGUCGAAUUCGAAUCUCUUUUUCAAUCUCUCCCUCUCUCUCUCUGUCUCAUUCUCUCCCUCUAUCUAUCUCUCUCCCUCUCCCUCUCCCUCUCCCUCUCUGAAACCCCCUCGCAACUCUCCCUCCCUCUCUCCCUCUCUCUCUCUCUCUGAAACCCCCGAAGAUGCAAGACAUGUGGAAUGUUCCCCCUGGUUUCAGGCCCAGCACAUCUGCGCCUUCGUCUCCCGCAAAGCCUAUUCGGGUGUCAAGAACUCGAUCAGAGUCCUUUCAUGUCACCCACAAAGUCCCUGUUGGCGACACUCCUUAUGUGAGAGCCAAAAAGGUUCAGGUAAGCUUCCGUUCUGGGUAAUCUUGAAAUUUGCCAACAAACCGAGGUUUCUUCUUUUGCGUGAUUGAUCUCUGUUUGAUGGGUUUGAUUAUGACUUUUGUUGCAUCAGUUGGUUGACAAGGACCCGGAAAAGGCAAUCCCGCUAUUUUGGGCCGCCAUUAAUGCUGGAGAUCGAGUGGAUAGUGCGCUCAAGGACAUGGCCAUUGUGAUGAAGCAACAGAACAGGGCUGAAGAAGCCAUUGAGGCUAUUAAAUCGUUGCGAAGUCGUUGUUCAGAUCAAGCCCAAGACUCUCUUGAUAAUAUCCUUCUGGAUCUGUACAAGGUCCUGUCCUUUCGAAAUUCCUUAUCACUUGUUUGUAUCUGGCUAUUUAAGAUUAUUGAGUACUGAUUUUUGUCUUUUGGAAAUUCGAUUCGACAGAGAUGCGGGAGAUUGGAUGAUCAAAUUGCACUUUUGAGGCACAAAUUGUUCUUGAUUCAACAAGGGAUGGCUUUCAAUGGGAAGCGCACCAAGACUGCCAGAUCCCAAGGGAAAAAAUUUCAGGUGUCCGUGGGACAAGAAGCGACUCGGUUACUGGUAAGCACACGGUUUUUCUGCUAGUUUCAGUCCUCUAUCUCUCCCUAAACUCCAUAUUGAGACGAAUUUCCAUUUCAGGGGAACUUAGGAUGGGCAUUGAUGCAGCGGAACAACUAUAUCGAAGCAGAAGAUGCCUACAGGCGGGCACUUUCAAUGACUCCAGAUAAUAACAAGAUGUGCAAUCUGGGUAUCUGCUUGAUGAAGCAAGGGAGGAUUCUGGAAGCCAAAGAAACCCUUAGAAGAGUGAAACCGGCUGUUGCAGAUGGACUGAGAGGUGUAGAUUCCCACCUCAAAGCAUUUGAGAGGGCACGGCAGAUGCUGCUUGAUCUUGAGUCUGAAAUGUUGAAUAAGGGAAGCGACCCUGUCGAACAGAGUCGGCUCUUUGAUGCCUUCCUCAGUUCUUCCUCGCUUUGGCAGCCUCAGCCUUGUAAGGACCAGCACACAACGAAUACAAUCAAAUCUCAAGAUGAUUUUGGGGAUGAGAACUUCGACACCAACAGAGUCAUGAAGGUUCUUCCUGGACAGAAGAUUGCCAAACCAACGGCUGUUCAUGCGAACUCACUCAACGUCGCGGCAUUGCCAUUCUACUCAUCAAAGAUGACCAAGGACCCAAUUGGAAAACCACUGCAGGAGUCCCUUAAGAGAACAAGAUCAGGGCUUGCUGCUAAUUCGAUAGGAGUGAAUGAAACAGGGGCGUUCAGAAAGCCCUUAAUGGAAUCCAUGGAACCAGAAAAUAAGACUAGAAGGCAAUCUCUUUCACCCGAAGAAAAUGGGGACAAGUGGGCAGACUUGCUGCCAGACAGCAAGGAGUUUGAAGCGGCUCUUAUUGCUGCAGUUUUGGGUUCAGCCACUGAAACAGGGAAGAAGACUGUGGAGACUGGAAACAGUUCUGGAAUUUUACAGAAUAAGAUUGAGAGUAGGCUUAAAGUCUUUCAAGACAUAACACUCUCAAUGAGCCCAAGAGCCUAACCUCUCAAUUAGUGUCAACUAAUUCAAUUUAGUUUUUACAAGCUAUAAUAAUAUAGGUUUUAGGUUGGAGAUGAUCUUGUUCUCCUGGGCUCCUGUUCAAGCAGAAGGGGGGGGGGGGGGGGAGAGAGGAGUACGCAGCUAUGCAGAGAGUAUGGUAGCAGUCCCUGCUGGGGUAGUAGCAGCAGUAGUUAUAGUAGAUGCAAUUCAUUAAUUCUUGUCCACCUCUCAAAAUAAAGGGGGGCACACAUCUGUAAUAAAACAUAUGAUGAUGUUCAUUAGCUACAUUUUGACUCAAGAAAAUGAGGAUCUUGCCUUGUUCUAUAUUGUAUGGCAUUCCUAUUGUGUAUGGCAUUUAAUUUUGAUCAUAUGAGGAGCUCCUAAUUGUUUAGGAACAUAGUUUUCUUCAAUGAAUCUUUGUGGGAUCUUCUUAUUAUACAUGGUUUCUUCUUAUACAUGAUCGAUCCUGUUUUACUCCUCUUUCCUUUGACUUCUUUGUCUAUAGUAGAAAGUAAUGGCUAUAGCAGUUGUCGCAAAAGCAACUCCUGCAGCAGUUUUUGCCAUGGUUGAACUGUUCUUCACAGCUGUGAUUACCCUGGAAGUCCAUGUAGGUGGAACAAACCCUAGCUCCGAAAGCUUCUUGUGGGAUGCCGCAUAAUCUCUGAAGAAAGCCUCCUCAUCCUGCCAUGUACCAGAAAUAUGAUAAGAAAAACAGUAAAGGGUUACAAGAGACUGCAUGAGACUAUGUGAACAUCCACGAAGGUUCCAGCAAAAUACUACAUUACCUGUUCAUACAACAUAACAUAUUCUAGGAAUUUAGGAUCCUUUAUUAAUGCUUGGUCUGUGGAAAAUAUAAACAAUCGCCUCCCUGUUGAAUCCUCGCCCGCAGCUGAAGAAGAAGGUUUCUGCUGUGAAUACCCUGUUGGAGGGUUACUAGGUGUAGGAAACUUGGUUGAUGAUUUCAAAAGCUCCCUGAUUACAAUAUUAAUCAUAACAUAUAGCCAUCAUAUAUAAUUGAAACAUUGCUGCAUUUAUAUGCGUUCCAAUCAAUGAAUUCUCAAAUGAAACCUUACUUGAAAUACGAAUUGUCGAACUUCCAGGGCUCCUCUGUCCACUUGCCAUCAAAGCCUGAAACUUGCUUAUGUGCCCCUCCCUACAACACCAAACCAAACAAAAACUACAUGCAUAUUUGUGGAUGCUGAAAGAACUUUUUAAAGAUAGCUGCAGAUCUGUGGAGGAAGUUACCAAUGUAUGACCUCCGGAGAGGGCCACAAUAUCCUUGUCCUCAAGACCCAUCCGGUUAAAGACCGACCUUAAAUGGUCAGCACCUGCAACAAAAUUUAAUAAGAGUAAUGUAAAUUUUCUGCUUGGUCUUAUAUGGGAAGUAUAAGAGAGCUCUGAUUUCUGAUGCAUAACAACCAAGAAACAAUUUGUAGAAGGAGCACAGCUGAAAAGCUAGAGAGGGGACCAAGGGGUGAAAUGACAGAAUUCGACAAACGAUAAGGUUCAAGUCUCUAUGCAUUAUCUGUGAGUUAUAGAGCAGAAUAGGAAAAUGACUUCUUUUCCAUAAACAAGGCCAGAGAGCAUAAAGAAAACAGAAUGGGAACCUUUGUUAGCAUCUGGGAGGAGCCCUUCUUUUGGUGAAGACAAAGAGUCCUGGUUGAAAAACAGGGGGGAAAAAAUUAGGAGUAAUAUUUGAGAAAGGUGAUCAAAAGCUUCCUCCAUGAACCAACCUGUCUACCAGGGACGAAGUGAAUAGUGGGGCCUCCAGUAACCUCAACUGCAACAACACCAGCAAGCUGACAAAACCCCAAAGGAGUCAGGAAAGCGACCACACCGGCAUCCACUUGCAAAGAUGAUGCAAACCAGAGCUUGUUUUUAUCCUUAGCUUCUCAAUGAAUUCAAAUUAAAUCACAGAACAGUUAAUUUCUGAAACAAGAGUCACCUGGUAAAGGUCAGCAUAUGUAAUGCAAGGAUGCUUCCUUUUCACCUUCUCUGACAUCAGAGCAGAACCAGAGCCCAUUAGAAGAAAAAAAUAGUAUUUCAAUUUCAAGUAGGAAAAACUGAGAGUUGUGGUGGGAUGAAGUCCCAAUCAUACUAUCUCGGCACUGAACCUCAUUAAAAGGAGUCUGAUUACAAUACAAGCAAAAAAAAAAAAAGGGGAGGGACAAAUCUUUUGCCAGUGUGCAAGGGCAAAAGGGAAAAUGAAUCUCACCGCAAAGAUCAACUGCCGUUUCCAAACCCCUAUUUGCAGAAUGAUUAAGCUCUUGUGGGUUUCUGAUGGAGCCAUUUGGGCCCCCUGUCUUUGUGAGAGCAUCAUAAGUGCCUGCAUCAUGAAACCUGCAAACAAAAUGCUAUUUAGCUUCCGAUCAUUAAACCCUCAUGCAUUAAAGCUAAAUUACUUUAAAAUCCAAUAGAGCCAGAAUGCAAAAAAUCAGCUCACGAUCCUCCCCCCCAUACAUGCCAAAUACUAAGUCUCCGUUAAUUUGAACCUUGCAAAAAACACACACACAUGUAUGAAUCGUUUUGUUCAUGGCCUGUUCAUGGCCGUAUUUCUGACACGCCAUAAGUCAUAACACCUAGAAAAGCCUUUUUCUUUUUUUUCCUAAUUUUUCUGAAAUUUUCAUCUUAUCUUCCCCGUCUAUUGAAAUGCAACCACUUAUGUUUUCUCCCCUCCCUUCGAAAUGUCAGUUCUAACAUUUACUAAAUGAAAUGAAAUGCAGGGAAAAUGAAAAAGAAGCAUAAAUUAAACUUAAGGGACACUACGCUAGACGGAGCAUCAUGGGUGCACAGUUUUUGCUGGAAAUGAGAGCACGGAGGUAUCUACGAGCCCUUUCGAUUUCUUUGUAGUAUUCUGCAUUUACAACUAGUGGUGCUGGAGUUGGUGCUGGUGCAGAGGCUGAGGUUGAGGCUUGGACUUCCAUGGGAGCUCACCCACCCUGCAAAGAAUUGAAGAGGAAAAAAAGAAGGAAUGAUGAUAGUGGAGGGAGGACCCUUGAUUAGUUUGUCUUUAUAGAGAGGGAAUCACAACGAAAGAGAUGGGUGGAAGAAAAGGGGUGGGGGAGAGAGGAAGCAAAGGAUUGAUUUUGCAUGGAAAGGGAUACGAUUCCAAUUAUAAACAUGCAAGGGACUACAACUGCUGAUUGCCUUCUUCUUCUUCGUCUUCUUCUUCUUCAAAAUCUUCUUAUCUCUUGAGGUAUGAAGAUUAAAAAACCUAAAUAGAUAAUAACUUUCAUGUAUAUAGUUUAAAAUAAUUUUUUUAUUUAAAAGAAAAACACAUUAUUUAAAAUUAUUAUUUUUAAAUUUUUAAAAAUAUCUUUGAGAGGCUUUUUUUUUUUUGCUAAAUAAUAAAAACUUGACCCUGUGAUUUAAAAACACUUCUAAAAACCGAAAAAUGUUUUUGAAAAAUUAUAACAUUGUUUGGUUGUUGUUUUCUUAAAAAAAAAAAUUAAAAACAAAAUAAAAUUAAAAAUCAUUUUUAAAGAAUAAAUAAAAAUUAUUUUCACUUAUUUUAAAUACAAAAGGAAAAUGUAAAUAAAUAAGAAAAAAUUAAAAUAAAAAACCAUAUAAACAGAUGAAUGUAUGUAUGAAAUAAAAAAAUCAUUCAUUUAUAUUUUUAAAAAUUAAAUUUUAUUUAUUUUUAAAUUUAUUCAAAAUAAAAUAGUAUUAACAGUUAUUAAUUUUAAAUUGUUGUUACUAUUAUUAUUAUUAUUUAUUUCCAACAAAAUAAAUCAAUGAUGCUUUUAUGAAAAUGUUAAUAUUCAUUAUUUAUAAUAUUUAUAAAAAAAAUAUGAUUGUAUUAUAAUAUUACUAUUCAUAUUUUAUUAAAUAUAUUUAUUUUUUAUUUUUUGUAAUUACAAAAUUGUUUUUAUUUUUAAUAAGACUUGAAUUAAAAUUAGUUUACAUGAUAUAAAUUGAAUUUAUAGUUUUUUUUUACAAAAUUAAAAAAAAAUUAAAACAACUUAUUUAAAUAAGAUUUUUGUUUUUGUUUAAAAAAAACUUUUUUUAAAACAACUUGAAUCUAACGAACCAAAACACUUCAUUCUCUUAAAGUUAAAUUAAAUUCUAUUUAUAGGUAAAGUUUUAUUUUUAUUGAAAUAAUUUUCUUUUUUACAUUCUCCAAAAAAAAUAAAAUAUUUAUUCUCACUCCUCAUUCCUAUAUAAAAAAAAUGGAUUUAACGUCAAAUUUUAGAAGAAAGCUUGAAAGCCAUAAAAUUGAGGGGCUUUUUGACUGGUUAUAUAAGGAAAAGCUUUAAGUAUGUCAUCCUCCAUGGCGUCUUCUUCAACCAAAAGACUCAUGAGUCAUGACUCCUUCCAAAACACGAUUGAAGGUAUCCAAGGAAAUGUUUGAAAGAGUCCUACGAAAAAGUCAUUAAUAAGUACUUUUGCAAAGCCCUUUCAACCAUGAUACAAAAUUUUUCAAGUCUCUAAUAUUUUAAAUUAAAAAUUUUCUUCAUAUAUUAACAACUAUUGACUCAAAAUAACAAUAAUUCUUUUCUCCUAUUGUAAAAGUUGUAUUACUGCUAUUGAAUCAUAGCUUAUAUUUUAUCCUAAAUUUCAAAAUGUCACUAUUAAAUCAUAGUGUAUCCUUUAUCAUAAACUAUUGAAUUUCCUAAUACAUCUUGUUUUUUUUAAAAAAAAAUAAAUUUUGAUAAUUAAAAAAAAGGAAUUCACAAAUUAAAUCCCCUACCAAAACAAUUCAUAAACUUAUGCUUCUCAUCCAUGUAGAUAUCAUGACUAUGAUUUUAAAUUUUUUUUAGAUGAUUAAAAUUAUAAUUAGUAACUACGAUAACUUUAUCGUAACUAGCCAUGAUGAUAACUUUAUGUAGCUAGCCACUGUGAUAACCUUAUCGUAGUCACAAACCACUGUUUUAUGUUUAUAAAAAAAAAACUCUUAGGUCUUUAUACAUACUUGAAAUGCACUAAUUCAAAAAAUAAUUUUGUUGAAAAAUUAAGGUUCAUUUGGUUAUGUUUUCUAAAACUUGUUUUUAAAAAUUACUUUUUAUUCUUUAACUUUAUAGUUUUUAAAAACAAGUUUCAUAAAACAUAACCAAAUGGACCCAUGUUUUCAUUUUGUUUUUAAAAAUUGAUGAAAACAACUUCUAUUUGUUCUCUAAAAAUUGUUCUCUAUUUCACUUUAUUUUCAAAAAUUAUUUUCAAAAACCAACAACAAAACAGUAUUAAAAAAUUUUAAAAAUAGUUUUAUAUCUUUAAAACAAAAAAAUUGUUUUUAAAUCAUAUAAUCAAACAGACUUUUAACUUCAUAAAUUUUGUUUUUCAAAUGAAUUAUUUUUGCUCAAAACUCAUUUUCUCAAAUUUGAAAAAAAAAUAAAAUUAUAUGAAGGAUAUUAAAAUUCUCAAGUCAUAUGUACUACUUUAGGGUGAUUUUACACAUAGAAUAUAAGUUUAGUUUGUGAACAAAAUGAAAACCCAUUUAAUAUUUCUUUUUCAUGGCAUGCACAUGUUGAAUGUGGAAUCACAAGCCUGUAAAUUUUUUAACUUUACCUAAAAAUCCAAUGGUGUGUGAUGAAUAUUUUAGUAAUAAGGUAUGAUGCGGACCAUGUGGUAAUGGUGGCCCCUUGCUCAAUUGUUUUAGAUUUUGUUAGCUAAGUUCCAAGUUACCAUUGUGGAACAUAUUUGGAACUACCACAUGGUGCCCCCAUUGAUUUCACCUUCAAAAGGCUGCAACUUUUGAUUUUCUUAUUGUUGCUUUAGCUUAAUGCUUUAUAAUCAAUUACGAGAUUAUAUAUCAUCUAUUAUUAGAUUACUUCAAUUUAAGUUAAUCUAUCAAAAUCCGAUACCUUAUGUCGGAUUAGGAAAAAAAACUUAUAACACAUAACUUUUUUUAACAUUUUAGAUGUCUAUGUGACUCAAAAUAGACGAUAUCUAUUAUCAAAAUAUAAUAUUUUUUUAGUACAUAAUAUACUAGCACGAAUAAUUAAAUUUAAACUAUUAAAUACAAAGAGAAAUCACAAUUUAAAUACGAAACGACACCAAAAUAUAAAAAUUAAAAAAUUAAAACCCGAGUAAAAUAAAAUGAGAUCAAGACUAAAAAACCAAUCUUUUAUCUUCUUUUGUCAAAUACAGAUACAUACUAAAAAUGUAACAUAAAAAUUUAACAAAUUUAGGUAUCAUAAUAGCACCCAUGUGGACCUGAGAAUUUUAAGAUUCUCUAUAAAUUAAGAAAAGAAGAAGAACAAAUUGUUACCUUUUGGGAUAUUUUUAGGUGGGAAGUUGUAAAUUGCAAAGUUUGAGAAGGGUAUAGUUGUCCAAAAGGGAGGAUAUUUUUGGCAGUUUCCCCUGGAAUGCUCUUCUCUGACAGAUUGAUUCCAGUGCCACAGUUCCCUGAAAAAAGCAAGCAAAUUUAUUAAUAUCCCAAAACACCCCAAAUUUCAAUUGGCAGAUUAAAAUUGUAGACAAUGAAACGGUGUCGUUUCAGCGGGGUCCAUGCAAAACGCUUUUACAAAAAAUCCUUGUCUGCGUAAAAUCUGGUUUUUUGAUACAACACAUUUAUAUCUUCCAUUUUUGAAAUAUUACCUUCCUAAGGCUGUAUUGGCCGUUGAAAUGCAUAGUUACCUAAACACCCCUCCCUUCCUUCCUUAUUAGUUCCCCUGUUCUCCGCACGUCCCAAGGGCAUGCCGUGAAUAAAGGCACAUUCUAGGGGCAUUUUGGUCAUAAUACUUUAUUUGAUAAAAUUACUCCACUGGGCACCCUGCCCAACGUUCAUUUGUCUGCUUACAUCUCAAAACUGCCGCUCCGUUGCUUUCCUCCUCACAACCACAGAGUGGGGGGAGAGAAGAGAGGAGAUGAAACGGUGUCGUUUGUUUGGGAGGAAGCGAGGUUAAAGAUUCUGAGACCCAAAAGAAGUGAAGGAGAAAAACGGUGGCUUUUUGAGACCCGCCAUCGAUGAAAGCUUCAGAAGCUUUACCAAAGUGAGAGAACGCAGAAAACGUUUUGGUUGUUGUUUUGUUUUUUGAAAAUCAGAAAUGGGUUGUUGUUACUCGAGAAUAGAGAGAGAAGAGAUGGUUUCAAGGUGUAAGGCGAGGAAGAGAUACAUGAAGCAGUUUGUGAAGGCGAGGCAAGCCCUGUCUGCAGCCCACAGUAUGUAUAUCAGAUCCCUGCGUGGCACUGGCUCUGCUCUCCUUCAGUUUGCCACCGCCGAGACCAAUCUCCACUACCACCACCACCACCACCACCACCAUCUCACACCGAUUCCACCCUCUCCGCCGCCACAGCAGCCCUCUCCUCCGCCUCCACCGCCGCCCAUGAGUCCCAGCUCCGAUACGUGGACAUCCAUCACAGCCUCGCCCUCUCAUCUACCGC